GGGCACAUCAAGGACUUGUGCUACCAUAUUCUCACAGCACUCACUGGCCUGAGAACCAGCUGUGGGAGCCCUGUGGUCCUAGUCAACUGCCUAUCAGCAGCUGUAGGAACCCUCUGAGGUGUGGCAGGCAGAGGAUGUGUAUGGUCCAGCAAGAAACCAACUGCUCACAUCCGCUUGGGAUUUAUGUGUACCUGUUCACGCAGCAUCUCUAAGGUUUUCAUUUGCUUGUUUCUCAGCUCUUUGUCUCGGGCAAAGGCAAAAUAACCAACGCCAAGCUGCCGGGCCUCUGAAAGAAGUCCAAAUUACCCAAAAGAUCAGACUGUCCUGAUACUCAACUACACUCAAGCCACAUUUCCUACCAAAGCAAAAAGAAACAGUGAUAUUUGGCACAAGUUUUAAAAAUAAAAAGAAAACAGCUAAGCAAAAAACAAAAAAGCAAAGAAACACAAAUGUUAGAUCAAGUUUUUGUCCUGUUUGCCUAGGGAAGCAUAACAAAGGGUCAUUUGCUUUCAGUCAUGGGCUGUCUCCACUUCUCUUGGGGAACAAUCCCUUGGAUUACCAGACCCUCUGUCAGGAAGAUAUUCCCAAUGUGAGUAUUUAAAAGCUAUAAAGUGAACAAAGGAGGUAUUUUCAAUUUCCAAAGCAGGAUCUUUAAUUUCCACGUAAGAGCUAUUGCUUUAUGAAUACUUCCCUUUGAGUUUGCCAUCAGUUUAAGAUUAAAAAAAAAGAUUUGCAAAGCUGCAAAAAAUAGUCAUACCAUUUUCCCGAAUGUCUUCAUAAUGUAUGGGCCCCAUGGGCCUCUUCAGGGCCUCCCUUUCUUCUUCCUCCCAUUGCUGGCGCUGAAGUUCUUUUCUCAUAUCUUCAGAUAAUAGGGUUUUUUCAUUAGCAGGACUAAUAAAACUAGCAGGAAAACAGAGCAAAAACUAUCUUCAGAUAAGGACUAAGAUAUCAGUUCUUAAGUACAGUCAGUUGGAUCACGGAUAAAUAACACUAUUUGAUAAAGAAUACAUGGAACUAGGCCAGGCGCAGCAGCUCAUGCCUGUAAUCCCAGCACUUUGGGAGGCCGAGGUGGGCAGAUCACAAGGUCAAGAGAUCCAUACCAUCCUGGCCAACAUGGUGAAACCCCGACUCUACUAAAAAACACAAAAAUUAGCUGGGCAUGGUGGUGCAUGCCUGUAGUCCCAGCUACUCGAAAGGCUGAGGCAGGAGAAUUGCUUGAACCCAGGAGACAGAGAUUGCAGUGAGCUGAGACUGCGCCACUGCACUCCAGCCUGGUGCCUGGUGACAGAACAAGACUCUGUGUCAAAAAAAAAAAAAAGAAUACAGGGAACUACAGGCUUCUAAACUUCUACAGAACUGAGGCUUCUGACCCACGAUACUGCUGGGAAAACCAGUAAAACAGCCUUCACCUUUCUUUCUUUCUUUUUUUUUUUUGAGACUAGUCUUGCUCUGUCACCCAGGUUGGAGUGCGGUGGUGCAAUCUUGGUUCAAUCUCAGCUCAAUGCAACCUCCGCCUCUCAGGUGCAAAUAAUUCUCCUGCCUCAGCCUCCUGAUUAGCUGGGAUUACAAGCGCCCAUCAACACAUACAGCUAAUUUUUAUAUUUUUAGUAGAGAUAGGGUUUCACCAUGUUUGCUAAGCUGGUCUUGAACUCCUGACCUCAAGUGAUCCGCCUGUCUUGGCCUCCCAAAGUGCUGGGAUUACAGGUGUGAACCACCUCACCCGGCCAGCCUUCAACUUUCUUAAUCAAGCACCAUUCUCGUUAUAUUAGCAUGAUAGCAUCUUGCAUAAGCACUUGAGAAAAAAACUUUCCUUUCACAGAGGUCCCAGGCUGAACAGAUGAGAGGAGGAACUCUGGGACUCCUAUAGAUGGUCUCUCAUCCAGAGACAUGAAAACUGCUUAACACUAUGGCCUGGGCGGUGUAUCCUGUCCUUACAGAUAGCUGGGCCCUGAGAGGCUCAAGGUUUCUACUCUCCCUUUCUUGUGCCAAGCCAAGGGCUACCUGCAAGAUGCCUGAACCUGGAGAACUCAGACAAGAUGGAGUCUUUCUCUGUUGCCAGGCUGGAGUGCAACCUCCACCUCCUGGGUUCAAGCGAUUCUUCUGCCUCAGCCUCCCGAGUAGCUGGGACUACAGGCACGUGCUAUUUAUCAGUAUCUUAAUAACUUUGUCUUGUGCCUGAGAUUCUCAACUUGCUCAUUUUCUCACAGUCUUCAAGUCUGACUUUUUAUUCGCUCUCUUAUUUCCUCUAAUUAGUAUAAUUCUACCCAAUGUAUUAGCAAUUUCUUAAUGUAAGAAAUUCACAGUAUUUUUCAGAGUUGGACUCUUCUUAAUUAGGAGGAAGCCAAACACCACACCUCUCUCCUCAUCUCUGCUCAAACUAGACAAUAGUGAGACAGCUAAGCCAUGCAGAUAGCAAGGCAAAACGAAAUAUUCUGACUUUCUACAAUAGAAAAUAUGGACAGAUUUUCAUGAAAAAUAUCUCAUUUGCAUUAUGAUUCAACAGAUAUUUUACUUUUUAAAUUAUGGGCUGAUAAUCUCCUACAGCCUUUAGCAGGGUACUGAAUACACAGUAAGGGUCCAAUAAAUACUAGCUGGCAGACCAAUUCAGCUAGGUAUGUGACUUUGCUUUUGUUAGCAAUUUUUUUUUCCUCUCAAGCAAUGCUGAUUUCAAUUGUUAGUUGUGAUUUAAAAACUGAGUGUUUACUCCAGUACUGAAGCUGAUUAUCACAAGAAAUAAAACCUCUGACUGCAGCAAGCAGUUUCUUUCUUUCUUAUUUUCUUCCCAUAUGGAUGGGGGAAGAAAACCAUCUAGCCAGAUGGUCUGUGUAAUUAUUUACAGUAUCUUUAUGGAAAGAUUUUCUACCACCUGGAAUUUAACUACCAAAAGGAUUUUACAAGCAAUUACAAUUCUGGAGCUUAAUUUAAAAACAAACAAAAAAAAGUGUUAGAACUGCUUGCAGUGCGUCUUCCUUCACCAUAUGGUGGCAUGUGACACCUUCAAUUGCCCUCCAAACUCUUCAAAUCACUGGAAAAUUGCUUGUAAUCACACAGGCAUUAAUAAGCAAAAAUUUUUAAAAAGACAUUAGACCUUUCAAAGGAGAUGAGAUUUCUGUUAUGAAAAGCAAUCAUAGACUAUUGUUUCUGGAGAAGGCCUCCAAAACAUAAAGAUCCCACUAAAUAGAAGUGGCAAGACAGGAGCCAACCAUGGCUCCACCUAAUCAAGCAAUCACCCUCUAAGCAACCCCUGCAGGUAAACAAAGCUUUCGUCAGGCAAGGAAGGUAAUACAGGCGGACUAACAGCCAUGCCAUGUUUCAAGGGUCUGGGGAAGUUAAGGCACACACCCAUGAAACACUUAUUAACAACACUGGGUAUAUAAAGACUACCAAAAGUUUGCUAAAAUUUUUUUCUGAUAAUGAGGCCUGGUAUGUGUCAAUAAUAAAUGAAAGGUAAUACCCGAAGAGCAGGAAGUAUAGUAAGUGCUACCUGACUUCAGAUGAGAAAGCAAUCACUUAGAGAUUAGAAAUGAUAGGCCAGGGAUGGUGGUUCACACCUAUAAUCCCAGCACUUUCGGAGGCCCAGGUGGGAAGAUUGUUUGAGCCCGGGACUUCAAGAAGAGCCUGGGUAACAUAGUGAGACCUUGUUUCUACAAAAAAUAAAAAUAAAAAACUGAGGCAGCAGGAUUGUGUCAGCUCAGGAGGUCAAGGCUACAAUGAGCCAUGAUCACGCCACUGCACUCUCACCUGGGUGGAGACCCUGCCUCAUAAAUAAAUAAGAAAGAAAGAAAGACAUGAUGAAGAAAGGCAUCAACAGAAGAGACUCAUAUGUUCUCUUUUGGUUCCUUAUAGCUUGCAGCCUGUUCCAAGUGGUAUCAAACUAUUUAGCUAUAAGUUUUUAAGAAAGUAGGUAAGACGACACCUGUUUUAUCCCAAUGAGAAUGUUAUUUCUGAACCAACACGGACACCCUCAGUGGAAUGAAGAUGCAGUUUCUCUGCCAUCCACAGUAGCCGGGACUGCUCUCUUCAGCGCAUCAGUGACUGCCCACAGGGUCAAAGGCUGACAAAAGAUCAAUGCAUGCUGCAGAGUCCUGAGCAGUUCCUAACAAAUGCCCGCCAUGAUGAAGAUAUCUGCACUUUAAAGGGAGGAUGAGUAGGAUCCCAAAGGCAAGAGGGUGGGUUCCCAGGAAACUGUCAGAGCAUCAGUAGAGCUCUCAGCAAUUUCAAGCGCUGUGGAACAAGCUUCCAAACAAUAAUACCUUAGGUAGAAAAAAACCAUUGUAACAGAAUUCCCAUUCUGGUCUCUCUACUUAUGGAUACAUUAAGUCUGUUUAAGGAAAAGACUAGUUUUCACCUACAUAUAGGCAAAAUUCAGGAAAAUGUCAGUAAUAAAGGUUUACAAGAUGCCUUUUUAUACUUCACAGGCAGCACUUUCUUGUGUAGCCCAGAAUGCUCUUACUAUUUGAAGGGAGUUUCAAGCAAAGGAAUAAGGCAUUAUAAUCUCUGUUUUACAAGGGGAGAUCCUGAGCCUCAAAGACUGAGGAACCUAAUUAGGAUCAUACAUCCAGUAAAAAGUGCGGCUAGAGCCGUCCAAGGCCCAUGGGCCCACACCACACUGCCAAACAACGUCACAGCCGGAGUAAGACAUACUGCACCACCUCUGCCAGCUUCCUUCUCCUAGAUGAUGACUCUCCACCAUGUCAGAACAAGGACAUGCGUAAGGCAGCAGGACAGGUACAAAAGGAAGGCGCUCUGCCCACACUGCUUCAUGUUAGUGAGUCAAGCAAACCAAGUCUGCCAGCCACAAAGUCUCCCUGAGCCUGGCACAGGGCGGGGCACACAGCAGGAGCCCAGUCAGUAGUUAUAAUUCUUUGUAAUUAUUGUAAUUAUGUCUUCAUUUGAGCUACUGUUUUUACAUCUAUAAUAACCUAAUCCAAUCUAACUUAAAGGGAAGUCUCAAAAGAAAGAACACCCGGGAAUACCAGAGAAAUGGCUUCACAACAACCCAACAAAAUCACUCCCAAAAUGUCGCACAAGUCUGAGGAUGUUCCUCUGAGCUAAUCCAUGAUAUAACCAACCA